GCCUUUGGGGGGGGUGCUAUACAUGCAAGUCGAGCGAAUCAAAGGGAGCUUGCUCCCUGAGAUUAGCGGCGGACGGGUGAGUAACACGUGGGUAACCUGCCUGUAAGAUUGGGAUAACUCCGGGAAACCGGAGCUAAUACCGGAUAACAUUUCGAACCGCAUGGUUCGGAAUUGAAAGGUGGCUUUUGCUACCACUUACAGAUGGACCCGCGGCGCAUUAGCUAGUUGGUGAGGUAACGGCUCACCAAGGCGACGAUGCGUAGCCGACCUGAGAGGGUGAUCGGCCACACUGGGACUGAGACACGGCCCAGACUCCUACGGGAGGCAGCAGUAGGGAAUCUUCCGCAAUGGACGAAAGUCUGACGGAGCAACGCCGCGUGAACGAUGAAGGCCUUCGGGUCGUAAAGUUCUGUUGUUAGGGAAGAACAAGUACCAGAGUAACUGCUGGUACCUUGACGGUACCUAACCAGAAAGCCACGGCUAACUACGUGCCAGCAGCCGCGGUAAUACGUAGGUGGCAAGCGUUGUCCGGAAUUAUUGGGCGUAAAGCGCGCGCAGGCGGUUUCUUAAGUCUGAUGUGAAAGCCCACGGCUCAACCGUGGAGGGU
rnacentral:rRNA from 1 species